rnacentral:rRNA from 1 species
CAGAGGGUGCGAGCGUUGUCCGGAAUCACGUGGGCGUAAAGGGCGCGUAGGUCGGCCCCGCCAGUCACUGGUGAAAGCUCGAUGCUCAACAUCGAGUCGGCCAGUGAUACUGGUGGGGCUGGAGCACUGUAGAGGCAGAUGGAAUUCCGGGUAUAGCGGUGGAAUGCGUAGAGAUCCGGAAGAACACCGGUGGCGAAGGCGGUCUGCUGGGCAGUAGCUGACACUGAGGCGCGACAGCGUGGGGAGCAAACAGGAUUAGAUACCCUGGUAGUCCACGCCGUAAACGAUGGGCACUAAAUGCUUGGGGGAGCGACCCCCUGAGUGUCGACGCUAACGCAUUAAGUGCCCCGCCUGGGGAGUACGGCCGCAAGGCUG